GCCGGACGAACUGGGAGCCCCAGCUUUCUGGUGGUUAUUUUUGGGCGCGGCUUUGUCCGCGGCCUAUUUUUGGCACACGGAGGCCCCUCGCAAAGUCUCGCAGCAUUCCGAGUCCGGCGGACGAAGUCGCCCCGCCCCACCCCCAAGGUUAUAGUCCACCCGUUUUUGUGGCCUUUUUCCGCUGGACGAACUUGGCGCCCCGGCGUUCAGGCGGUUACUUUUUGGCGCGACUUUGCCCGUGGCUUAUUUUUGGCACACGGAGGCCCUCGCAAAGUCUCGCGGCAUUCCUAGUCCGGCGGACGAAGUGGGCCAGCCGCACCCCCCAAGGCUAUAGCCCACCCGUUUUUGUGGCCUUUUUCCGCUGGACGAACUUGGCUCCCCGGCCUUCGGGCGUUUAUUUUUGGACGCGGCUUUGCCCGCGGCCUAUUUUUGGUACAAGGAGGCCCCUCGCAAAGUCUCGCGGCAUUCUGAGUCCGGUGGACGAAGUUGGCCAGCCCCACCGCCCAAGGCUAUAGCCCACCCGUUUUUGUGGCCUUUUUCCGCUGGACGAACUUGGCGCCCCGGACUUCGGGCGGUUAUUUUUGGGCGCGGCUUUGCCCGCGGCCUAUUUUUGGCACACGGAGGACCGUUACAAAGUCUCGCGGCAUUCUGAGUCCGGCGGACGAAGUCGGCUUGCCCCACCCCCCAAGGCUAUAGCCCACCCGUGUUUGUGGCCUUUUUCCGCUGGACGAACUUGGCGCCCCGGCCUUCGGGCGGUUAUUUUUGGGCGCGGCUUUGUCCGCAGCCUAUUUUUGGCACACGGAGGCCCCUCGCAAAGUGUCACCGCAUUUUGAGUCCGGCGGACGAAGUUGGCCAGCCCCACCCCCCAAGGCUAUAGCCCACCCGUUUUUGUGGCCUUUUACCGCUGGACGAACUUGGUGCCCCGGCCUUCAGGUGGUUAUUUUUAGGCGCGGCUUUGCCCACGGAUUAUUUAUGGCACACGGAGUUCCCUCGCAAAGUCUCACCGCAUUCCGAGUCCGGCGGACGAAGAUGGCCAGCCCCACCCCCCAAGGCUAUAGCCCACCCGUUUUUGUGGCCUUUUUCCGCCGGACGAACUUGGCGCCCCGGCCUUCGGGCGGUUAUUUUUUGGGGCGCCUUUGCCCGCGGCCUAUUUUUGGCACACGGAGGCCCCUCGCAAAGUCUCGUGGCAUUCCGAGUCCGGCGGACGAAAUUGGCCAGACCCACCCCCCAAGGCUAUAGUCCACCCGUUUUUGUGGCCUUUUUCCGCUGGACGAACUUGGAGCCCCAGCCUUCGGGCAGUUAUUUUUGGGCGCGGCUGUGCCCGCAGCCGAUUUUUGGCACACGGAGGCCCCUCGCAAAGUCUCGCAGCAUUCCGAGUCCGGCGAGACGAAGUCGGCCCGCCCCACCCCCCAAGGCUAUAGCCCACACGUUUUUG
rnacentral:lncRNA from 1 species